GGCAUCUGUUGUUCCCUUCUUUGUGUUCAUGUGCAUUCAAUGUUUAGCUGCCACUUAUAGGUGAGAACAUGUAGUAUUUGGUUUUCUCUUUCGUUUAGCUCAUUUAGGAUAGUGGCCUCCAGCUCUAUCCACGUUCUGACAAAGGAUAUGAUCUGAGAGGUUGGCAUUUCUUCCUUGGUCCUUGAGAUAAAAGGAUUCUCAACCAGAAAACUAAAGGAUAAGCAAGAAAAGAGAUCUUUGGGCAUCUGUGACAAGAUUCUUUACCCAUCUUUGGAAACUUAUAAAGAAAAUAUUAGAACAAAGAAGAAUGAGGAAGGCACAAAACAGUUCCAGAACUUCUAAGCAACCAAAAGUAACUGAAAAGUCAACUGAAAAUAGUAGUAGCUAUUUUUUCUCAUAUUGUAAGAAUCCAGUUAGCUCAGACCAAAGGAAACUCCUUUUAAAUUUAGAGCCCACAGUUGAAACCUGUGAGGUCAACCAACUGAAAGUAAAUACAUGAUUAAAUAAGAAUUUCCACAGUUGGAAUUGUGUGCAAAGAUGAAUUUGACAUAGUACCUUUCAAAAGGGCCUUUAAGACAGAAAAGCAACACAAACUCUCCUUACAGGGUUGAUGACAGUUAGACAGAAACUGUAUGAAACUCAGCACAAUGAGAAAAGUUCAUUAAAGGAAAAUCGAGAAAAUGAUUAGUGUUGACUGUGAGCCUUGAAUAAUGGGCAGAAUUAUAUCCAGUGGAAAUAGUAGAAAGAGAUAGAAGAGGUUUUUUAAAAAAUAAAGGCACACAGCUUGAAACGCCUUGUACGCAGACCAGCCUCUUCCUCAGCACCCCAGGGAGCCUCCUGAUACCCCUAGCCAUGCUUUUGGAUCUAAUAUCCC
ensembl:lncRNA novel transcript